rnacentral:rRNA from 1 species
GACGUAGGGCGCGAGCGUUGUCCAGAUUUAUUGGGCGUAAAGAGCUCGUAGGCGGCUUGUCGCGUCGUCCGUGAAAACUUGGGGCUCACCCCAAGCUUGCGGUCGAUACGGGCAGGCUCGAGUUCGGUAGGGGAGACGUGGAAUUCCUGGUGUAGCGGUGAAAUGCGCAGAUAUCAGGAGGAACACCGGUGGCGAAGGCGGGUCUCUGGGCCGAUACUGACGCUGAGGAGCGAAAGCGUGGGGAGCGAACAGG